AGAAAAAUAGUAUUUUAUACCUAAUUAGUGUUUUUGGGUAAGAAUCUUGUGGAUAUAUAGAGUCAUCUUUGGUAGAAAGCGUCCCAUAAGUAGACUUUACAUCACAAAUAUAAAUCAAUCAGCUCGUAUCGAAUAUCAAGUGAAAAAUAAUAAUUAAGCAGCUAUGUCGCCACCCCAAAAUUUUAAUUCUUCCGGGAAUAAAGGGUCCCUUUGGAGGAUCCAUCAUUAGGGGCGGAACUAGCAUGACAAAUACAUAUUCAGUAAAUUAAGUAAGUUUGGUCCAAACCCUAUAUACUUGUAGUAACAUCUACUCUCUCUCUCUGUAUACAUACAUAUAUAUAUAUAUAUAUAUAUAUAUAUAACCUCUCUCCUUCUUCAAACCAUGUAAGUUUAUUUGUUAUGUUUUCUGUACUAAUCUCCCUAUUAUGUAAAUUAUUUUGUGAUUAUUAUGUUUAAGUAAUUACUUCCUUAUCAUCAUGAAUUUGUUAUUCUUAGUAUAUGGUUAUUCUCUUAACUUCUUAAUAACCUCGAUGGAUUAACCUGUAAAUUCCUAGGUUUUAAAGAGGCCGUUUUAAUGUCCAAAUGAUAAAGGACGAUGUUGGCCGUGGUUACCAGGGUGUGGUGUAUAUAUAUAAGCAAAUUAUAAACUUCAAAUCCCAAAAAUCUUCAAAUCCAAAACUCAUAAAGUUCAAAUCCUGAAACCAGCUCUGUAUAUAAUCGUCAGUUUACAGUUUUUUCCUAUUAUUGCCGCAUAACUUUAUUUUCUUAUCACCAAAGGAUUCAGGAAAAAAAAAAAAAAAAAAAACAAAGCAAUGGCGAUGACUGAUCGAUGCUAUAUGUCAAUUUGUUAGUGCAUAUAACAGAUCUUCCAUUUGCAUGAACGAUGAUUUGGUUGCCUAAUUUGUUAAAGCUUUUGUGUGACAUAGUUUUGGGUAAAACGUAAGAAAAAUAACAUGGUUAAUAAAAGGUAAAAAGCUGCCAUCAUUGUCUUUCAGAUUUGAAUCAAAUCUAGCUAGAGGAGUAAAAAAGUGAAGCUUUAAUUAUAUUUCUGUGAAACAAUAUGGGGCCAUCAGUAUUCAGUCCGUGUCCGUGUGUUUUCAAAAGCAGCGAGAAUCUGUCCUUAAUUAACCUGAAUCAUAUUUAAUUUGUCUUUAAUUAAUGAAUACUUCAAUUGUUAAUCGCUCUUUAAUCUUCUUGCUUGUCUCGAUUGUUUUUGCUUCAAAUAUUGAAAAUAAUGUCUUCUUGUAAUCGACGACAUUGUUAAAUCUAAUUCGUUUCUUGAGAUUAAGUUUAAGCUAAUAUUUUUUGAUAUACUUUAGUUAUUAAGAAUAACAAACCGAAAAGCAAGGGCGGUGCUAACAUGGGAAUUUGGAAAGUACUGUUUAGCAGGACCAAUAAUUUUAUUUCAAACCUUAUAUAUUUGUUGAAAAAUUCACUGAGCAUGUACAUAUAGUAAUAAACUUGAGAACCUAUAACUUCAAAUCCGAAACUUGUAAACUUUGAAUUAUGGAUCGGUCUCUACCAGAAAGAAAAACAUAGACGCACUAGUUGGGUAGAAAUUAUCACUAAUAAAAAAUGAAUGAGCAUCAUUGCAUCUUCAAUUCAGAAAGUAAGCAUUAUUUAUCUUACGUGCUUUUGUCUUUGUUAAGGUUUGGAGUUUGGGAAUGUGCAUGCACCAGUCAUCAUACUUAAUUCUUGAUUACAGAGAAUUUAAGAUAGAAUCAUAAGUAGGCGUAGCAUUAUUUAUACUUGGUCUGUUUAAGUGGAAAGCACAAGUGUUAUGCCUGUAGAUAAAGAGCAGACAAUUAAAGCCAGCUUUUGUGGUGAUGCCGGCAUCGAACCAAUUAAUGCAGCGUAGGGAUGCCAACAAUGGUGAAGCGGGACAAGAAGUUUUUUUUGCUCGCGCGUGCUUAUGGUUCUCUAUACCUAAUUUGUUGAUGAAUUUAUUUAAAUUCAUCCUCAAAAUCCCCCAAUGUCUCCUUGUUGCAUAUAAGGAGCUUGGACUUCUUGCCUCCUGAGGGGUCUCAUAUUUUGAUUAGCCAUCUUUAAUUUAGUCAGGAGAAUAAACUCUAUUUCCUUGGACGUAUCUUCACAGAUUAAGAUCUUCUGUAUGCUUGUAGAUGGUUUCUCCCUUCAAAUAUAUUUAAUAUAUUUAAAUGUAUCUUC